rnacentral:rRNA from 1 species
GUGGGGAAUUUUGGACAAUGGGCGCAAGCCUGAUCCAGCCAUUCCGCGUGCAGGAUGAAGGCCUUCGGGUUGUAAACUGCUUUUGUACGGAACGAAAAGCCUCUGGUUAAUACCCGGGGGUCAUGACGGUACCGUAAGAAUAAGCACCGGCUAACUACGUGCCAGCAGCCGCGGUAAUACGUAGGGUGCGAGCGUUAAUCGGAAUUACUGGGCGUAAAGCGGGCGCAGGCGGUGAUGUAAGACAGUUGUGAAAUCCCCGGGCUCAACCUGGGAACUGCAUUUGUGACUGUAUAGCUAGAGUACGGUAGAGGGGGAUGGAAUUCCGCGUGUAGCAGUGAAAUGCGUAGAUAUGCGGAGGAACACCGAUGGCGAAGGCAAUCCCCUGGACCUGUACUGACGCUCAUGCACGAAAGCGUGGGGAGCAAACAGGAUUAGAAACCCUGGUAGUCC